rnacentral:lncRNA from 1 species
GGACCCUCAGGACCGGGGCCUCCUCUCCCCUAACCCACCUUCCCUUGUAGGAAAAUGUCCUUAAGGACCCUCAGGACCCGGGCCUCCUCUCCCCUAACCCGUCUUCCCUUGUAGGAAAAUGCCCUUAAGGACCCUCAGGACCCGGGCCUCCUCUCCCCUAACCCGUCUUCCCUUGUAGGAAAAUGUCCUUAAGGACCCUCAGGACCGGGGCCUCCUCUCCCCUAACCCACCUUCCCUUGUAGGAAAGUGUCCUUAAGGACCCUCAGGACCCGGGCCUCCUCUCCCCUAACCCACCUUCCCUUGUAGGAAAAUGCCCUUAAGGACCCUCAGGACCCGGGCCUCCUCUCCCCUAACCCACCUUCCCUUGUAGGAAAAUGCCCUUAAGGACCCUCAGGACCCGGCCUCCUCUCCCCUAACCCACCUUCCCUUGCAGGAAAAUGCCCUUAAGGACCCUCAGGACCCGGGUCUCCUCUCCCCUAACCCACCUUCCCUUGUAGGAAAAUGUCCUUAAGGACCCUCAGGACCCGGGCCUCCUCUCCCCUAACCCACCUUCCCUUGCCAGGGUGACCCCGCCAGAACCAGGUGAGCCGCUGCCCACACAGGGACCCGCGGCCAACAGGCCAACGUCCUGGGGAAGCGCUUCUUACCCUGCUGCCUGGGACGGGAGAACGCAGGAGAGGCUGGAGAACACCCGGGAAAGGCCUGGAGAACACCCGGGAAAGGCUGCAGAACGCCGGGGAGAGGCCUGGAGAACGCCCGGGAAAGGCUGCAGAACGCCGGGGAGAGGCCUGGAGAACGCCCGGGAGGCUGAAGAACACCCGGGAGGCUGUAGAACGCCGGAGAGGCCUGGAGAACGCCCGGGAGAGGCCUGGUGAACACCCGAGAGGCUGGAGAAUGCCCUGGAGGCCUGGAGAACGCCCGGGAAAGGCUGCAGAACGCCGGGGAGAGGCCUGGAGAACGCCCGGGAGGCUGAAGAACACCCGGGAGGCUGUAGAACGCCGGAGAGGCCUGGAGAACGCCCGGGAGAGGCCUGGAGAACACCCGGGAGGCUGGAGAAGGCCCGGGAGAGGCUGGAGAACGCCUGGGAGGCCUGACAGAACCGUGCCUCAGGCCGUGGCGCUCGGCCCCCUGCAGACUCCGGCUGAACCUGCCCCUCCCCGUUGUUUUUCUCUGACCAACCUCUGCGCAUGCGCGGUUCUGCGCCCGGGGCUGGGCUGUUCCUCGCCAGCAAUGAGCAGAGAGUGGGGAGUGCUCGCCCUUUCCACCCCACAGGCUUCGGCAGCUUUUGGUCCCAGAGAUAAUAUCCGAAGGAUAGAGAAGGAGAGGAACGCGGAGAGAGAGCUUGGAGUGCUACGUGCAGUAAGGAAGUGGUGACCAAGAACAUCCAUAGUUCCUGCCCUCAUGGAGACUAAAGGCUGGUGAAGGAGAAAUAAAUCAAAUUAUCCAGGAAAAGAACUACAGUGAUAACUUAUCUUGGUGGGAAAAGAAUGAUAUAAC